rnacentral:tRNA from 1 species
GCUAUAAUAGCUCAGCGGUAGAGUACAUUGAUGUCAACUAUGGGAUCGUUGGUUCAACACUUAUGGUG